rnacentral:tRNA from 1 species
GGGGAUUUAGCUCAGUGGUAGAGCGCUUGCCUAGGAAGCGCAAGGCCCGCGCAAGGCCCUGGGUUCGGUCCCCAGCUCCG